rnacentral:rRNA from 1 species
GACGAACCGUGCGAACGUUGUUCGGAAUCACUGGGCUUAAAGGGCGCGUAGGUGGGCAAGUAAGUCAGUGGUGAAAUCUCCGGGCUUAACCCGGAAACUGCCAUUGAUACUAUUUGUCUUGAAUACUGUGGAGGUCAGCGGAAUAUGUCAUGUAGCGGUGAAAUGCUUAGAUAUGACAUAGAACACCAAUUGCGAAGGCAGCUGGCUACACAAAUAUUGACACUGAGGCACGAAAGCGUGGGGAUCAAACAGG